GACUUUUAAAUAAACAGAUUUGAAAUCUGAAUCAGGUAAAAUUAUUUUACCAAAAGUCU
rnacentral:tRNA from 1 species